rnacentral:rRNA from 1 species
UCAGGAUGAACGCUGGCGGCGCGCCUAACACAUGCAAGUCGAACGAGCAAAGAGGAGCUUGCUUCNCUGAGCGAGUGGCGAACGGGUGAGUAACGCGUGAGGAACCUGCCUCAAAGAGGGGGACAACAGUUGGAAACGACUGCUAAUACCGCAUAAGCCCACGGGUCGGCAUCGACCAGAGGGAAAAGGAGCAAUCCGCUUUGAGAUGGCCUCGCGUCCGAUUAGAUAGUUGGUGGGGUAAUGGCCUACCAAGUCGACGAUCAGUAGCCGGACUGAGAGGUUGAACGGCCACAUUGGGACUGAGACACGGCCCAGACUCCUACGGGAGGCAGCAGUGGGGAAUAUUGCACAAUGGGCGCAAGCCUGAUGCAGCAACGCCGCGUGGAGGAAGACGGUUUUCGGAUUGUAAACUCCUGUUCUUAGUGAAGAAUAAUGACGGUAGCUAAGGAGCAAGCCACGGCUAACUACGUG